CCCCCCCCCCCCCUCCAACCAAAAAAAAUUAAGCUUAAGAUCAAUUGUUUUUAAAUUUUUUGUGUAUCAUGAGGUGAAUUUGAAAAAUAUAUUUCAGAAGUCUGCCCUUCAAAUUUGUAUCUCCUAUUGUCACUUAUUGUUAGUAUUUUAUUUAUUUUAUAAAUCUGGCUUCAGUUUAGUGUAACAGAUUUGACUAACUUGUAUGCUACACAUAGUACUAUCAGUAUGCUAGUGAAUUGGGUUCACCCUAUUGUCUAAGACAAUCUUUCAUUAUAUGCUCCAUUUUUUUGUUGAUUCUGUUAUUUAAAAUUAUUUCUGCAUUUAUUUUAUUUUUUUAAUAAAACUAAAUUAUAAUGUAAAAACAUGUAUUUAUGAAGCUAAAU